rnacentral:lncRNA from 1 species
UAAUCAUCUUGGGAAACCAGGCAAAUCAAUGGAGUUCAAGGUUGUUGGAAAGCAGGACCAGAGGAUAAGGGAGAAAUCAUGCCAGAAAUCCCACAUUAAGUCCUAAAUCUGGAUCCUCCAAAUCCAGUGACCUUUAAACAUAUUUGCUGGUGAAUGCACCGAUUCUUCAGUGUUGCCAAAACCCAGCUUCUUUGGCAUCCCAAUGCAGACUGAAGACCAUCAGCUCUCCAGGAAUCCUUUAGGCCUUCAGUGCCAGAUCAGGACUGCUGAGGCAUCCAGACACCUGGACAGAGAGGCUACUGGGUUUUCAGAUUCACCAGCAUGCAGACAGACAGUUUUGG